CGGCAGGCACCCCUUCGCGGCUAAAGGGGCUAGAACCGGAAAUGCUCCGGCUGCCCUGCGGCCUCGCUAGGUAAGGUUGGCAGUCAGUCUUUCAGAAGGUCGGGUUUACGGUGGAUAGAAGAGCUGUCCUGAAAUAUGAGACAACUGUUUUACAGUGCUCUUAAAACAGAAGAUGACCAUUGUGUUGGAGCUCUGUGAUGAAGGAGGAAGGCAGUAAAUAUGAGAGCCUAUUUUUAUAAAGCCAAGCAUGAUCAGGCUGGAGAAAACACAUACUGCCAGAAGACUAUAGAUUUCUCACCUAAGAGAUAGAAGAGCCGCGGUUGAACUCUGGCAACACUGGCAGAUACCCACCACUGACAGAGGCAAGAAAGGAGGAGCCCAGACCUGGGAGCUGACAUGCGGCCAGUUUACUCUGGAGAAGCUGAUUCAGUUGUUAAAAUACUGCAAUUCUUCAUUACUAAUGGGUAAGUAAUUGCUGUCUGAGCCCCCUGAGGUGCUUAGUACCCUGGCUCACCCUAG